rnacentral:rRNA from 1 species
UCAGAUUGAACGCGGCGGCAUGCUUACACAUGCAAGUCGAACGGCAGCACGGGUGCUUGCACUGGUGGCGAGUGGCGAACGGGUGAGUAAUACAUCGGAACAUGUCCUGUAGUGGGGGAUAGCCCGGCGAAAGCCGGAUUAAUACCGCAUACGAUCUAUGGAUGAAAGCGGGGGACUUCGGGCCUCGCGCUAUAGGGUUGGCCGAUGGCUGAUAGCUAGUUGGUGGGGUAAAGGCCUACCAGGCGACGAUCAGUAGCUGGUCUGAGAGGACGACCAGCCACACUGGGACUGAGACACGGCCCAGACUCCUACGGGAGGCAGCAGUGGGGAAUUUUGGACAAUGGGCGAAAGCCUGAUCCAGCAAUGCCGCGUGUGUGAAGAAGGCCUUCGGGUUGUAAAGCACUUUUGUCCGGAAAGAAAUCCUUGGCUCUAAUACAGUCGGGGGAUGACGGUACCGGAAGAAUAAGCACCGGCUAACUACGUGCCAGCAGCCGCGGUAAUACGUAGGGUGCAAGCGUUAAUCGGAAUUACUGGGCGUAAAGCGUGCGCAGGCGGUUUGCUAAGACCGAUGUGAAAUCCCCGGGCUCAACCUGGGAACUGCAUUGGUGACUGGCAGGCUAGAGUAUGGCAGAGGGGGGUAGAAUUCCACGUGUAGCAGUGAAAUGCGUAGAGAUGUGGAGGAAUACCGAUGGCGAAGGCAGCCCCCUGGGCCAAUACUGACGCUCAUGCACGAAAGCGUGGGGAGCAAACAGGAUUAGAUACCCUGGUAGUCCACGCCCUAAACGAUGUCAACUAGUUGUUGGGGAUUCAUUUCCUUAGUAACGUAGCUAACGCGUGAAGUUGACCGCCUGGGGAGUACGGUCGCAAGAUUAAAACUCAAAGGAAUUGACGGGGACCCGCACAAGCGGUGGAUGAUGUGGAUUAAUUCGAUGCAACGCGAAAAACCUUACCUACCCUUGACAUGGUCGGAAUCCUGAAGAGAUUCGGGAGUGCUCGAAAGAGAACCGGCGCA